UACGGAGAGCACGAGCGUUACCCGGAAUUACUGGGCGUAGAGGGUGCGUAGGCGGCCGAUUAACUUGUGUGUGAAAAGCUCUGGCUUACCCAGAGCCCUGCACGCAAAAAUGAUCGGCUAGAGGGCGCUAGAGGUGAGCGGAAUUCCAGGUGUAGCGGUGAAAUGCGUUGAUAUCUGGAGGAACGCCGAAGGUGCAGACAGCUCACUGGGGCGCUCCUGACGCUGAGGCACGAAAGCUGGGGGAGCAAACCGG
rnacentral:rRNA from 1 species